rnacentral:rRNA from 1 species
CGUAGGUGACAAGCGUUGUCCGGAUUUAUUGGGCGUAAAGCGAGCGCAGGCGGUCUUUAAGUCUGAUGUGAAAGCCCACGGCUCAACCGUGGAUGGUCAUUGGAAACUGGAAGACUUGAAUGCAGAAGAGGAAAGUGGAAUUCCAUGUGUAGCGGUGAAAUGCGUAGAUAUAUGGAGGAACACCAGUGGCGAAGGCGACUUUCUGGUCUGUAAUUGACGCUGAGGCUCGAAAGCGUGGGAGCAAACAGGAUU